AUCCGCAAGCUGUUAUUCAAAAACUCAAGUUUCCCACCUCGUUGACUUUCACUGGUAGUCAACUAAUAUCAAUUAAACACGUAAUAUAUUCAAUGGUUUGACGAAACGGUUAUUUGUAGAUUGCAAAUUUUUACGAAUUCACGCGAAAUUUAAAGAUUUAAAAGUAUACAAAAUGCAUAUAAUAGUUCUAUGAUAUAUGUAUAACAGUCCCCCUAUAAAUUCUAUUUCUAAUUCUAAUUCAAUUUAGUUACAGAAAUAAGACCUAGAUGGAGAUCUGUGUCACUCACUAAAUAUUAUUAGUGCUUUUAUUUUAGCAUAUUAAAUGCAUCCUGCAGACUUAUCCAUUUCUCCAUUUCUCAUAAAGAAAUGAUCUUCCUGAACGAUCCUCAGGAUCGUGCAGUCGAUCUCCGCAAGAAUGAAAAGAAGUAUCGCCAGCCCACCGCGAAGAUUCAUUUCCAAUAACAUCACAAUGAUAUUAAAAAGACACGCAUAAUCGAAGAAAAUAAAGUAAACGAAUAAAAGGUACUUUAACAAAGAUAUGCAGAAAAGUUUACAACUUUUAACAAAGACGAUAGAGGCAAGUGACGAGAGUACGACUAGGUAAUCCUUGUUGCGGAUCGUUCACUAGAACGAGUAAAUCCUUCGAAGGAACUUACUUAGAAGAAAGUGAUCGUUGACGAUUCCCAUCGAAGAAGGGGAAUAUGCAUACUUGCGAUCACGACGAACCAGUGGAAACUGGCAGCUCUUAAACAGACGAAUAUCGCUCUCACUAACGAAAGUUACCUCUUUGCCAUCACUGUCUUUCUUCCUCGCUCUUUUCAUACCAAUUAGAAACGUUCAUUUUUCUUAGAUACGAUUAUGAAUCACGUGUCUUCGCAAACGCGUGCAAUAAGAUCCUUCUAUCAAUGAAUCCUUUUUUUAUUAUUGGCUAUUUAACUCCCAAUUAACUCGCAUGUUACACACUUCCUUUAGAAUAGAAUCAAAUCUUCUUCGUUGAUUUUCAGAUAGGAAUUUUAAAGACUAUUUCUUUGAGAAAGAAAAAUCUUCAUGGGAAAAAGAAAGUUGAUCACUACGUUGAGUUUAAAGAGACUUAAGAUAUUGUUUCAGCUCUGCUAAUGAGAUAGUGAAUGUAAUUCAUACUUAAUUUUAUGUAGAUUAUAUUUCAUCCAAUGUUGGAUUAGAUCUAAUUAUUCAAAUUUAAUGUUAAUUCGGUGUUUAAUUUAGUACUUAAUUUUGGUUCAUCUCAAUUGAGCUAAAUCUAAUGAACUUGGCACAGAUAUAAUUUAAUGUUUAAGAGGAGCUAAGGACUGAAGAUUGUAAUUAAAAAAUGUGUUAUUUAAAAUAAUCUUUGUCUAAUUUGAAUCCAACUUAGUGUCUAAAAGGACUUGAGGAUAAAAUUGUAGGAUUUAAAAAAUGUAUACGUCAUUCAAUCUUAAACUAUCAAAAUUUAGAAAUGGAGAUAUUUUCAUGGUGAUGUCUAGAUCUAGAAACCCAAUUCGCCUACUAAAUACAUCCUGCGUUACAGAUCUUCCUUUCAGUCUGUAACGUAUAAUCCGUUAUGAAUCAUUUAGUUGUAGUUUCUCGUAAUUACGCAUUAUCGAGGCAUCGGAGGAACGAUCGCUUUUUUGCUUGACGUCGAAUUACCCGAUGCAGUAGCGUGUUUACCAACAAACCUGUUAAUCAUUACUCUCGAGAAACGGAUUCUCGCUGAGAAACAUAAACGCACGUAUAGCUUGUCAUUUCACUACAACGAGAAUGUCAGUGAUGCAGAGCAGUGAACCUAGAGGACGAUUCAAAAAUUCAGUCACAAAAUUCUUGGAAAAGGAUCAUUAUAUUACAUUGAUUAUCAAAUUAAUUUAUAGAAGCAGACGAGCAAUACUUACAAUACUCGAUUUUGAAAUUAAUUCUUUCGUAAAAGGCAAAAAUAAUAAAAACUUGAAGAUGACAUUAGUAUCUUUGGAAUUUACUUUGUUAACAUAUAAUUAAAUAAUAUAAGUAUCAUAAAUAAAAAGAUUUAUCGAAUAUUGUUCCAUGAGAAAAGGAAGAAUGUUCGAAUUUGAAAACUGGAAGACAUGUUUUGAAAGGACCUGUAUAACUUUUGCAUAAAAACGUGUUAAUUAUAAAUUGAGGAUAUUGAGAACUAAAAAUAAUAGUUUGUUUCCUUUUUUGAAGCAGCUUGUAGAGUUCCUGUUAUCGAGGCCAUUUCCAUGAGGCAAGGAAAGUGAGGAGGAAUGCAAUGUGACGUCGAGAUAAGUAACGAGUUGAGCGUGUUUAAUUACUCUCUCUGUUCACGAGAACAUUUUUAGCAUUGCUAAUUCGUUCGAAAAGAACUUUAUAGCGUUAUAAAUUAUGAAACUCGAUCGAAAUUACAAAAAUUCCACGACGUAAAUUAUAUAGUUGAAACAAGGCAGGAAGCGUGUAAACGAGAUUUCCUUUUUUCUCCCUUUAUAGUUCAGAAGAAAGCGAUGUAAAGUAAAAUUGUUUUCUACGAAUCUUCCGUCGUUAUUUGAAUUUUCUAUGGUUCAAUUUUGUCACUAUUUCAGCUAACAUCGAAUAAUUUCGUAUUAUUUCCACUAGAAACGGUCCAAGUGUAAUACUUGUAUAGAAUCAGCUCUAAUUGUGAAAGCGAAGACAGUAAAGUCGAUGAAAGCGAUCCUUUUGUUUUUCCAAAGCGAUUUAACAUGACCGUAAUUCCGUGUGUUUCACGUUCAAUUGAAAAUUCCUACAUGCAGAAAAUGAAAAUAUUCCGUUUCGACUAUACAUUGCUUACAGGCUGUACAAAAUGUUCAUAUUUCCCCCUUGUAAUAAUUUUUUCAUCCAAUUGUAAAAAAGUGCAUCUAAUAUUUAUGAAAAAACGAUACACAUUUUCACUCAUUAAUUACAAUAGAGAAAGUUGUAAAAAAACUGCUUUCUGAUAUCCUUAAAGAACAUAGUGCAUGCACCAUUUACUACACCUGCAUACUUAGGUAGUUUUCAAAUCUUAUGGAAUUAUUUAUCAUAAUUGAAAUUUAAAAACUGAGAUAUAAAACUGAGAUAUCUUUUGAUACAAAUUCAUAUAAAUUUUUUAUUGUCAUAUCAUUAAUAAUAAUAUGUAAGGUACAUAUAAUAUAUAUUAUAAUUUAUUAUAAUUUGUAAUAAAUUAUAAUAAAAUAUGUAAAAGGUUAUAUGUAGACCGGAAGUGUUAUAUUGCCCGGAUAUAAAAAUGCAAUAUGGCGGCUGAGGAAAGGUGGGCACAUGCCACAAAGCAAGAAAACACAUCGAGAUCAGUUAUAUAUAUUUUAAUCAAUUUGUUUUUAUACCGGACUACAAGGGUAUAUAUAUUUGUUUAUUUGUGUACUUUUUUUUUAUUAUUACAGUCGAUUGCUUUCUCUUAACCAUUCCAAUCAAUACAGAUUGAGAUUCGAAUUUACAGCAAUAUAUCGCGAGUAAGCAAAUUAGCCUAAUUUGAUACGGCGUUUCCUUUUAGAUCAACCAGACUCGAGAAUCGUUAUAAUAUACAUGUACAAUAAUAAGCGUGCUGAAUGUGUAAAAAGACGGAAUAGAUUGAAUCCAUUUAGGAGAUAAAAAUUGCUACAAAGUAUCUUAUAAACUGUAAUUGACAAUACAAUGAUAUAUAGUCAAUCAGAACAUUUUUUGGUAAGCAAUACAAAAAUUUUAUUCAUUAAUGUUGAACGAUUGCAAAUACACAAUUAUAUAUUUCGAAAGAAAGAAAUUACAAUACCCAAAGGUCAAUUGUCCCAUUAUCUUAAUUAAAAAAGAAUUUCAACGUUGAAAAUGUUUAACAAAAUAUCCCAAAAGACAUAGAUGUCUUUUAUAAAAAUUUAAUGUAAUACAAAUAAAUAAGAAAGAGAAGAAAUUCAAUCUCUUCUUGAAUCUAACAAUAUUUAUGUUAAAAAAUAUUAGAUUGUUCCUUACCGAACAAAAUUUUGAAAUGUCCACUGCAAUCAUUCAGCAUUUCUGUGAUCAAAAGAUCGAGCAAAAAAAGAUCAAUGUACGCGUGUUCAGCUGUGUCGUGGAACAACGAACAGUUCAAGACCUCUUCUGUUAAUUACAUUGCAUCAGUAUAUGUAUACAAUUGAUUGUGUAGGUGAACAAACGAGUGUAUUUACAAUAUCGGUACAGACAAUAUAUACAGGUCGAAAAGUGUAACAGACAGUUUCUCGUGUUUGUGAUUUUAAUCCUUGUCGAAUACGAUUACUCUUGACGACUAGUGAUUGUAACAGCAUUACAGGAAAACGAUCGCGUUAAAGUGCGUCUCCACCAGCGUUCGCGAACAAUAUGGGACUCUUUGCAUAUCAAGAGAAAAUACAAACUCGAACUUGAAGUCGAAAAAUGUGGAAAUAGAAAUCCUGUGUUCGCGGUGAGAAGUUGAAAGUGACAUCCACACCGGCUAACAUCUCACGAAUAUCGUUCCCAGAUAUUUCAUAACCAUUACGCAAUCUUCUUGUAAACACUUCGUUGUCCUAGUUCUUAACUGUCCUAACCCCAUUUUUCUAAAGAACGUAAUUAGCUAAUGCACAUAUGUCUCAUCGGUAUAAAGAAUACAAAUUCAUGAGAAUAUGAUGAAAAUUCUACUUAGCAAAUAACAAAUAUUCAGUUCUCUUAAAUUCUAACUCUAUACGAUUAUAUAAAACUACAUGAAAUAUAAAGUCUAAAUAAAACUUUUAGCUGUAAAUAAGAACUAGAGCAACGACUUAACAAAUUCACGCCUUAUUCAUAACAUUUGUCUAAUUAAAAUAAGAUCAAAUAUGAUAUAGUUUGAAUCAUUUAUAAUUUUGUAAUUACAAGUGAUUGACAGUGUUCGUGUAGUGUUCGUCGGUGAGAAUCCGUCUUUAUGAACAUUGACCGAAUUAACAAGAUAACUUCAAAGGGACGACAUAUCGCAAGAAGACGCAAGAAGUUUGAAGGUUUCUUUUUGUUUUUUAUUUUUUUGAUUCAGAUCAAUGAAGAUGAGCAAAAUCUUCAAAUUUGUAACGCGACGUUUCCCUUCACAGGUGAUUGUUUUUUAUUGUCUGAUUAUUGUUUCGCUUUACACAACAUUCCAAUAGUCCAUUCAUUUACCUCUCUCAAGGAUUAAAAACACAAAAUGAUACAGUUCUCGAUUGAACAUAAAACGCAGUAGGGCAUUUCCGAUCGUCUGUCUCUGUGUGGUAUUUUAUUUUGCGUGUUCAUUACCUUUAAUCGUCUUUGUCUGUACAUAUUUAUACGAAAUCGUUAUCAUUAAUAUCGUACAAAGGUAACGAAGCGGAGGAACAUUGUUGAACGAUAUAUCAACUAUCCUAAAAAUAUCAUAUUCUUUACAUCAAACGUUUUUCCAUUUUUCAAAUCUCGUUUUCGAGUUUUGUGUUCGUGCACGAAACAUGUUAAUCCUUUUAUAGGCGGUGAGACUUAUUCUUCUUUUUAAUGAAAUAGACACACUACUCAAAACAAUUACGUAAGGUUAGAACUUUGUAAAUGAGGAAAUUAUUGCAUUCAAAUUUCGUAAAGGUACAUAUAAUGCAUCCAAGAAAAAAUAAGUAUAUAUUGAUUACAUACAUAUAGUUAUAUCUUUUAUAUUUUGCAAUAAAUGUGUAUGUAUAUAUAUUCUUUCGUUGAUUAAUAAUAUACUACAUAUAUUCUACUUAUUGAUCACUUUCUCGAUAGGAUAUUUUGACUAAUAUUUUGAUUUUAUUGCUUAUAUGGGUUAACCAGUUAAAGAGAUUUUGAGCAUGCGUAUGUAUCAACGACAUAAUGAGUUUAUUGAAUGAUUUGUAAUUGUUUUGAGUAGUGCACAAAAGAAUAAUAUAUACUGUGACAAUGAAAUAUCACGCAUUUACUUACGAACAUGAUAUAAUGUGCUUUCUGCGUUAAUCACGUAAUUUUGACGGACAUGUGUGAGCAAUUUGUAUUUUCAUAACAUGAAAUAAAAAUACAAAAGCAGCUUUAUUAAAAUUUUCAUCAAACUACAAAUCGAAUUUAGGAUGUUAAAGGAAAUGAAACAAAUAAGAUUAAAAUAAUUCCCAUGCUUCCAUGUAUUCUUUAUUUUAUCUCUAGCAUGAAAGGAAAAAAAUUGAUUUAAAGCACAAGUCAACUUGCACAUGUCCUACGUAUGAUGCAUAAGAUAUGUUGAGCAAACUUGAUUUUGUACCAUAUGAACUUACAGGUAAAACCUAAUGGAUAUCACAAUCUAAAGCACGGCGAUUUAGAUGCUGGAUAAACUAUUAAUUAAAGGAAAUAUAGCGAGGUGUCCAAAAUUUAUUCGAUAACGGUGCGUAAGGAAAAGCCAUUCAACUUUUACUUUUUUCACACUCGUCACAAACUUACAUUUACUUUCGUUAAUUUUGUACUAUUCAAAAUUACAACUCAUUUCAGGUCUUCCAUUAACGCGUUAAACGCGUCAUUUUUGUCAUUUUGUUCCUGGGAACCGACACUAAACUUUUUAUUUGUACACGGACUGCCACGGACGCGUUUUUUGUAUUAACACACAGCACCGCUUAAAGGCGAGAAUUCCUUUGUGCGUCCAAUGUACGUACGUGUCCUGUGUCAAAAGCAGUCUUAAACCCAAGUCACACAAGCAACGCUAUCUCGCUGCGAUAUCGCAGCCGACAUCCGUCGGGCACAUUUGUACCUUUACAAUGAAAAAGUAUGCUUUUGUUUUCGCAGUAUCUGAUUUAUCAUGUGAUUCGAAUUUGACUGCUCUUGGCGCAGAUGCGCGCAUUAAGCACACCUAGAACAUCCCGCCUUAAAUGGGGAGCAAAACAAAAUGAACUUCGUGUUUAAGAUAUUUAGAUAAUGACUGUAUAAAUUAUGCAGUUUAGAAACUUUAAACUGCAUAAUUAACAAAGCACCAAUCUAUCCUCACUUUAUUUCUUCCGCUAUUCGAUUCAUUGAUCGUAUCGAUUUCUUAUUGAUAAAAUCUUAAAAGCUGUCGAGAAACAAUUUGAUAGCAGAACUAAUGUUAGCUUGAAAUAGUCUACUACGGAAGAUAGAAUGGAAGGGAAGAGAUGUCUUCGAAAGCAUUUUUUGAGCGAUUCGGUAUUUAUCGAAUGAUUAUACCUGUAACGAAGCUUCUUAUGGAAAUACUAUACAAUACGUUUAUCGACGAUAAAUCGCAAGCGUGUUCGUUGCUUAAUUCCAAUUACGUAAGGCUCGAUUUACACGAUAGCACCUUCUCGUUUUAUUUCACAAAUCUUUCCUUUUCGCGGAUGUCACUUUGAUUCUUUGGGCAAUGUCGAAAAACUCAAUUGGUUAAUUCUUGUCUGAAUCAAUAAUUUAACAUAUACAACAAUAAUAAUACUAUCAAUAACGAAAAAUGUUAUUAUUAUGCGGAAAUAGAUAGUUUUUAUGGAGGUUAAUCUUUUAAUUCUAAGGUUAAGCUCCAUCGUUCUACCAGUAUAAUAAAAGUAACAUGAAUUCGAGGUAUAAAUAGAUACAAAUCUAUUACUUUUAAUUAAAAUUAGUUAGUGUGAUCGUAUCGUUAAAUUCGAUUUUUCAAUCAAAGAUCAUAUUUUUCCAAAAAAUACCUCGAAUUUAACAAUACAUCUAACAUUUCUGAAUACAGACAUUGCAUCGCUACUUAUGUCGGAUUUGUAUUAACAAUUCAUCGCACGCUCGUCUAUUUACUGAUUCUAGAAUAAAAUAAGUAAACAUACUAUUUCCUUGUGAUACAGUCUUAAAUUUGCCUCGUACUCUCGCUCUGUUCUCAUCUUAAAAUGUUUACGAACUAUACACAAUUUUUAUACAAUUAGGCAUAUUCGUUUGUUUAUCGUUUAUGUCUUUUUUUUUUUUUUGUUACUUUUACGUUAGAUGAUAAAUAUCAAACGAAUUUUCGCUUAUCAUCUGCAUACCGUACAUACUAACACGGAUUGGCUUUCGUUCUUAGGAACGUAAUUAUCCGCGUGAUAUGGUUCGCUUUGUUUAUUCAUAUUACUUUUUUUUUACUUUUGUUGUUUCUUUUUCUUGGUUUUAAAUGGUCCGUAAAUUUUGUGUUCGACGCAGCAGGUAGUGCGUGAUAAGGCCCUAAAUGUACAUUCAAAAAAUUCAUAAAAACUUUUCGGCAGUAAUGAUGAUAGACACGUGCGAAUCAUUUCAUAACAUCUCGCGUUUAUAGUACAUUUAUCAUACGCAGCUAUGCGAAAAUUGUGAACGUAUAUAGAUCGGUACGAGCCGCAUAACAUUCCAUUUAGGCAGACGAGCGAUUUGCGAUAGCGUAACCGCCGUGGUAAUUUCCUACUACGUUUAUGCGUCCAAUUUUUGCGUUAAUUUGCCGCCACGUUUUGCGUUCCCGUGUAAACUACUUCAUAUAAAUCUAUGCUAUUCUAAAACGCAGCAACAGAGUGUCACGCCGCUGACGUUCUCGCAAACCGUUCAUCUAUACCAAACCUUAGAGUUUCCUCUUCUGCAGUGAAAAUAAUUUAUAUGUAAAAUAUUUUCAUAUAGUGUAAAAUGAUUAACACAUUAUCAUCGGUUCACGCUUCUUUAAUACGCCGAGCAAGAAUCUAUAUGCUGCACGAAGUGCGACGCUUCUAGAAAUUCGUAAACAAUUAAAAGUCAAAGAUACUAAUUACAUUGUUUAUAAUUAUAUCAGACCUCGACUAAUACUAUUUAUAAACAUAAAUAAAAGUAGCGGUAGUUAGUUAGAUCUGAUAAACUAAGGAGAUUGGGGCUAGUUAAGUGCACGCGUACUUAACGAAUAUUCAACCUCGAUUUUCUCGAGAACGGAGCAACAGAGCUCCAUACGAACAAACUUUGUUUUUACGAAAAGAUCAUUUCUCGUAGUACGGUAAUUAAGGAAAAAACACCUCCACAAUAAUAGGCUAAAUGUAACUGUAAUAUUUUUGUUAAGCACUACAGUUAAACGAUUCGACUUGCUUUAGUUUCGCAAUUCGCACGUGUCUAAAAGAUAAUAAAGCUGAAUAUUACACAUUUACAUGUGAUUGGGGAAAUUUUGGGGAAAUUAUUUACAUUAAAAGUCGAUCUCGUUAUCGGAUCCGAAAUAAUAUCUCGGAUAGUGGUUUAUCGAAACGAAAUCGCAUCUAAAGCCAGUACAGUUUUCUCUAUAGAUCUGUAACUUACAGUACUGCCAUUUUAACCGGUCAAAGUGGUACGUCUUGGUAACUGACUGUCGUUAUCACUUUUAUAUAAACUAUCUACAAACUCUGAAAUCAAUCUAAAUAUUGAAUGUUAUUAUAUCAUUCUAUCCAUUUCUCUUAGCCAAAGAAUAAAAUUCCUGGAAUAAACUCUCCUUUGCUAACUGGCCAGAUUUAAUUUCAACUAACUCGUUAUAAGGCAGUACUGUAUAGGAUUUAUUUUUAUACUAAUUGUAAGUAUCUAAUAUUUGAUUAAGCACACGCCGGUUUUCGAUCCCUUUCGGUGUAUGUUCUAGUUGUACAUUCUGGUCUUGCAAACACGACCUUGAAAAAUGUUGAUUCUGGUGUUCAUUAAAUAAUGUAUCAGCACCACUAUACAUGUGUGUAUGUAUGUACUUCGAAAAUUUCGAUAAUCGAGUUUCACCUAAUUUUUUCACUGAAUCCCUGAACACAAAUUGGCAUCGAAUUUUUUUCUCUCCCAAUAUAUUUACAACAGAUAAUUCUUUUCUUUCAUUCUUUAUUCUAACGAUAUUCUCGUCGAUACUAAUGAUAUUCUAAAGUAAUGUUAGUAAAAAAAUGCAAAAUGUUUUCUCUUAAAGAAAAAAAGAAAAAAAAAAGAUUAAUUGUGAAAACUAGGUGAAACUGCAUUAUUGAUUUUUUUACAGUUUAUCAUUGUUAAAAUAACGUUUGAUUUCGUUAUGUCGACAUAUGUAUAAUAUUUACGUGUAUAUACAGAGUGUAUCAAAAUAAGUGUCGUCUAAAAUAAUUAUUUUUUAUCACUUUUUCUCUUACGUUGUCCAAAUAGAAUAAUAUACUUUUAUCUCAGAAUACCAUGAAAUGUAAAAGAAGAAAUCUAUUUGAUUUAAUUUCUCAAGGUCACUUUAUAUAUUCGUUGCCAAUGGUACCGCAUGAAACAAGUCCACGCGCAAUGAUUUUUGAUCGAUUGGUCGUAUAAAUUACAAACAUGGUUUAUAAAUAAUUAGUUACAAAUAUAUCGAUCUUCAACUUUAAUCUUUUCUAGACAUUAAAUUGUUCAAAGGUCACUGCAUAGUUAUACAUAAGUUCAUCAGAUAUUUUUUUUAUAUCUUCAUGGUAUUAAAAAUAAAAAUAUAAUAUUCUUCGCUCGAAAAUUCUUUCGUUCUUUAAUGAAAAUUCUAUUUCGCUCUUCUACGUUAUUUUGGUAAUUUGUAAUUAUUAGACUCCGGAUACUUAUGCAUUUUUUAGAAAUGUAAAAAUUCAAAAUCUAUAGAACGCAUAAAAUGUACAAAGUAGAGUAUUUAUUAUAAUAUUUAGUACAUGAAACAAAUUUCUAUUUAUAUUCCACUUUCUUUAGUUAUGUUUACAAAAAUCUAAAAUCGCAUAAGCAUCCUCAGUCUAGUAAGUAUUUUAUACGACACUUUUUUCAGAACAUCGUGUAUACGGGUUUCUCGUAUUUACUUAGAAGUAGAAUUCUUUCGGGAGAACGAGAAAACCGAAGAAAUCGAAAUUAAUUGCAUCGACUAAGAUAAAGGACGGGAGGAGAUUAAUGUUUUCGAUAACGACUCCUUUCGUAUUACUAUAAUAUGCGAUAACAAACGAAUUGUGUGUAUGUGCGCAUAAAAAAUUGAAAAAUACAUGACAUAGAAAAUGGAAGGAA